AGCUCUUCCAUGGUGUAUUGACAUGUCUCCAAAUGGGACUUAAUGAUGUUCUGUGCAAUUCGGUCUGUGAGAAAAGAUAUCAAUUCAAAGGUCUUUUGAUCACAACUUAGGGGUUUUACAAGUUGGAAACCAUUCAAAGGAGGAUGGACGGAGAGAAGAGGCUAGUGCACGGUUCUGAUUUGACAGUGGUUGUUAACUGCAUGUUUGGCUGGGUCAUUUCACUUAGUGAAAGCCCCGAGUAUCGUCCUGCUCUCCAGGAGGGAAGUGUGCUGGCUACUGCCAUGGACAAGUUAUUCAGCAUCAUUCAGAAUUGCUUAGUUGCUUCCAAGUCCCCUCCUCUCUUCUACCCUACUCUUAUCUGUGUGACGUGGCUAUAACAAGGGGGGAAUAUUAAUGCACAUGACCAAAGCUCCCUGGAAGAUGAGAGAACCAUAGUCUUUAAAAGUCAUUUGAUCCAAUUGUCUUAUUUUUCAGAUGGUGAGACAGAAUCUCAGACAGCUGGACUAAUUUUGAAUACAUUCACAUGGCUAGUAUGCAGAGUUAGGACCCCCAAUCUCAAUGUACUUUCCCUAAAUUGCCUGCAAAGGGUGUGUGGUUGGGGUGGGGGUGAGAGAGGGGUUAGAUGACAAUGAAAGUUCACAAGAUGUCUCCUCUCAAGGCAAGGAAGAAAGAGCUAAACACUGAAUUUUCCUUUUCCCAUAUUGUUCAAGUAAUUUUUCUUGCAAGUUUGGUCUACUUCUAUCUGUUUUAAUGAUGUAUCGGACAGUUACCUCUAAAUGGAAUGCCUACCUGUAUUUGAUACAGGUUCUAUCACAGGACACAGGAAAUAUAUAGCAAGAGUUAAGUUCUAUUCUCUGCACCAUUUCUGCAUGGGUAGUUAGAUGUGCAUAAUAGAUUUAAACAGUAUAAAAUAUUUAUCCUUAAAAGCAUAUGCCAUUAAAGAUGCUGCUUUAAGACCAAAGCAUCUGCUUGGGGUUCUUAAUAAGCCACAAUUGAAGCACCACCACUUUUAAUAGAAUUCUGCAAAAUAAAAC
rnacentral:lncRNA from 1 species